rnacentral:rRNA from 1 species
UUGAACGCUGGCGGCAUGCCUUACACCUGCAAGUCGAACGGUAACAGGUCUUCGGAUGCUGACGAGUGGCGAACGGGUGAGUAAUACAUCGGAACGUGCCCGAUCGUGGGGGAUAACGAAGCGAAAGCUUUGCUAAUACCGCAUACGAUCUACGGAUGAAAGCAGGGGACCGCAAGGCCUUGCGCGAACGGAGCGGCCGAUGGCAGAUUAGGUAGUUGGUGGGAUAAAAGCUUACCAAGCCGACGAUCUGUAGCUGGUCUGAGAGGACGACCAGCCACACUGGGACUGAGACACGGCCCAGACUCCUACGGGAGGCAGCAGUGGGGAAUUUUGGACAAUGGGCGAAAGCCUGAUCCAGCCAUGCCGCGUGCAGGAUGAAGGCCUUCGGGUUGUAAACUGCUUUUGUACGGAACGAAAAGACUCUGGUUAAUACCUGGGGUCCAUGACGGUACCGUAAGAAUAAGCACCGGCUAACUACGUG